AGAGCGAACGCUGGCGGCAGGCUUAACACAUGCAAGUCGAACGGAUCCUUCGGGAUUAGUGGCGGACGGGUGAGUAACACGUGGGAACGUGCCUUUUGGUUCGGAACAACUCAGGGAAACUUGAGCUAAUACCGGAUGUGCCCUUCGGGGGAAAGAUUUAUCGCCAUUAGAGCGGCCCGCGUCUGAUUAGCUAGUUGGUGGGGUAAAGGCCUACCAAGGCUACGAUCAGUAGCUGGUCUGAGAGGAUGACCAGCCACACUGGAACUGAAACACGGUCCAGACUCCUACGGGAGGCAGCAGUGGGGAAUUUUGCGCAAUGGGGAAAGCCUGACGCAGCCAUGCCGCGUGAAUGAUGAAGGUCUUAGGAUUGUAAAAUUCUUUCAGCGGGGACGAUAAUGACGGUACCCGCAGAAGAAGCCCCGGCUAACUUCGUGCCAGCAGCCGC
rnacentral:rRNA from 1 species